UACGGAGGGAGCUAGCGUUGUUCGGAAUUACUGGGCGUAAAGCGCGCGUAGGCGAUUUCUCAAGUCAGAGGUGAAAGCCCGGGGCUCAACCCCGGAACUGCCUUUGAAACUAGGAGACUGGAAUCUUGGAGAGGUCAGUGGAAUUCCGAGUGUAGAGGUGAAAUUCGUAGAUAUUCGGAAGAACACCAGUGGCGGAGGCGACUGACUGGACAAGUAUUGACGCUGAGGUGCGAAAGCGUGGGGAGCAAACAGG
rnacentral:rRNA from 1 species